rnacentral:rRNA from 1 species
GAUGAACGCUGGCGGCGUGCUAACACAUGCAAGUCGAACGGAGAAUUUACGCUGAUGAAGCUUCGGCAGAUUCUUGUAAAUUCUUAGUGGCGGACGGGUGAGUAACGCGUGGGCAACCUGCCUCAUACUGGGGGAUAACAGCUGGAAACGACUGUUAAUACCGCAUAAGCGCACGGUAUCGCAUGAUACAGUGUGAAAAACUCCGGUGGUAUGAGAUGGGCCCGCGUCAGAUUAGCCAGUUGGCAGGGUAACGGCCUACCAAAGCGACGAUCUGUAGCCGGCCUGAGAGGGCGGACGGCCACAUUGGGACUGAGACACGGCCCAAACUCCUACGGGAGGCAGCAGUGGGGGAUAUUGCACAAUGGAGGAAACUCUGAUGCAGCGACGCCGCGUGAGUGAAGAAGUAUUUCGGUAUGUAAAGCUCUAUCAGCAGGGAAGAAAGACUCGUAAGAGAGAUGAC